rnacentral:rRNA from 1 species
GACGAACGCUGGCGGCGUGCUUAACACAUGCAAGUCGAACGGAAAGGCCCUGCUUUUGUGGGGUGCUCGAGUGGCGAACGGGUGAGUAACACGUGAGUAACCUGCCCUUGACUUUGGGAUAACUUCAGGAAACUGGGGCUAAUACCGGAUAGGAGCUCCUGCUGCAUGGUGGGGGUUGGAAAGUUUCGGCGGUUGGGGAUGGACGCGCGGCUUAUCAGCUUGUUGGUGGGGUAGUGGCUUACCAAGGCUUUGACGGGUAGCCGGCCUGAGAGGGUGACCGGCCACAUUGGGACUGAGAUACGGCCCAGACGCGUACGGGAGGCAGCAGGGGGGAAUAUUGCACAAUGGGCGGAAGCCUGAUGCAGCAACGCCGCGUGCGGGAUGACGGCCUUCGGGUUGUAAACCGCGUUCGCCUGUGACGAAGCGUGAGUGACGGUAAUGGGUAAAGAAGCACCGGCUAACUACGUG